rnacentral:lncRNA from 1 species
GUAACACUCACCGCGAGGGUCCGCGGCUUCAUUCUUGAAGUCAGUGAGACCAAGAACCCACCAAUUCCGGACACAGAAUUUCAUGGAGCCUGGAGCCCAGGAAAAGGGUGAAUCCAAUGCAGGCUGAUUUCUGGCUUACAUCACAGUCCAGUCUGAUUUUCUGCAGAUUACUUUCUACAAGACGAUUUGGGACCUCAGUUUACCACCUCCCAGCGGACCGACGGGUGCGAGGAGAGGACACGCAGAGGGACACCAGGGAAGAGGGUGGCGAGACAGUGGAAGCAGAGGCUGCAGCGAGGCAUGGACAUCUACAAGCCGAGGCACAGCUGGGAUGGCCGGCCACCGGGAGCUGAAGGGACAGGGAAGGAGCCCCCGGAGGAAGUGCUGCUGGCCCACACCUUGAUCUCGGACUUCCAGCCUCCAGAGCUGGGAGAGAAGAGAUUCCGUUGUGCAAACACCUGGUCUAUGGUGCUUCGUCCUCGCAGAUGCGGCAAGCGGGUCCAGCCAAGAAUAAAUGCGAGGUGGGCAGCAGCGGAAUCACUUCUCACUGGGGUGGGAUGAGGCCAGAGGGAAACGAGGAGGUGGGCUCAGAAGCCCAGUUCCCCAGUGGGGUUUUCUUUUUCCCUUCCCGGGGGGUGGCUCCUGCGUGGCUCCUUUUGCUGCCGUCUGCCCAUCCUGACUUGAUCUUAUUUGCCCUGGCGGAGCUGCCUUCCCCCUCGUGUCACCUCUGCCCUUUCCGGGAGGGGCCCUUGUUCUCCGCCCCCAGCAACACUCCCAUCCCGUGAGCCUCAGGCUUUGCUGCCGGUCUCUGCUGUCCCAAAUGCGCGGCUCACUCCUGUCCUGUGUGGGCUGUCACCUGGCGGGGGAGUGGGUGGAUACAGAGGUGGUUAGGCUUCAGAACGGUUUCCCUCUCCUCUGUGACUGGCAGCUCUGUCAUUCAUCAAACCCUGAGAUGCCAGACAGUUUCCUAUCUCUCAAACAAAGGUUAAGCAAAUCAAGUUUUCACAGAGUAAAGCUGAUCCAUUGACAGGACAAAUUGCUUAAGGAGAAUUCAUCUCACUGUCGGCAAAAUCCAUCAAUCUAGGGUUAGUCAUUGAGUAUCUCCUGCCAGAGCAAGGGACCAAAAAAUGAAGGGAUGAGGGCGAGCAGGAAAUACUCAGGCCCUGCCCGCAGUCAAGGACAGGUCCUGAGCAGGGGCUGUAAUGGAACAAGAGUGUUUCCUGUUCCUCUCCCUAACCCAGGCCCUCACUCCACGUACCUAAUGCCGGGUCGAGCACUGAAUAAAGCACCAAGAGAUACUGUGCAUGGCACACCCCUGUGGGCAGCCUCCCUGCUCUCCUCGGUCAAGCAGGGCCCCCUUGUGUAUCCCCAUCUACCCCACUGCAGCCCCACACAGGUUCUCCCCAGCCUGUGGCCCAGCCCCUGCCCCUGCCAUGCAGUUGCCCCCCACAGCCCCCCAUGGAGGCCUCUGCCCAGCUCUCAGCCCUGGGGUGAGCUCACCUCCCAAGCCUAGCCAGAGGGAGCGCAGCCCUCCUCACACCCUUAUCUCACCUCCCCACCUCUAGACUGUGCAGGAGCUUUCUGCUGUGUGAACCCCCAGGCCAUGGUGCCUGGUCCCUGCAGACACAGCGAGGGAACCACCCAGAGGUGCAUGUGGAGUGGGUGGAUGGCAGCCAGGAGGCUCUUCUCACCCAGGGGAUGAGGGCAGAGGAAAACCAAGAGGGAAACCAGGCCACAAGGGGCUCACCAUGCCUCUGCCCCUCCUGUCCAUGGCGAUGACCACGGUGGACACCAGCAGGCCCCAGGCGAGGCGGCGGGAGGCAGCAGGCAGGAUGGGCCAUCCAGGGAGGGAGCUGGGAGGCCGAGUGGGCAGUGAUGGGCUUCAGUCUCCCUGAGGGGCUGUCCUCCCACUGAGGAGUCCUCAGCCUCAUUAAAUAACCAGGGUUUGUCUCUGUGGCGUGGGUGGCAGGGACAAAAAUCAGUGCCCAGGAAUCACGGCUUCCUCCCUCCCUCACUGCCCAAGCGGGAGAUCAGGCUCCUUCCCCACCUCACAGCAGCCAGAGGUGGGGGCCUGGGAGCUGGGAGAGGAGAGAUUCAUAUCACCCAAGGGGCUCUGUGGGAGGAGGUAAAGGUGCCUUGGGGGGAGGAAGGGUGACGAGGAUCAAGGAUGAUGCUGGGCUUGGGGAGGAGCAUGGGGAAGAAGAGUGUCCUCCCAGGGCUGUGGGAAGGCAGGGGAGAAAGAGCACAUGAGAGGCGGCACCACCCUGGUGUUCCCUGGAGAGACCCUCACAGAGGCGCUGGUCUGUUGGUUGCUAUGAAGAGGGUCCCCUUUGAUUGACAUGCGGAGGAUGCUGCAUGAACUUGGAGCCGAGGCAGUGGGGUUUUCACAGCUUGGAAAAGCCCAGACUUGGUAUUUGUUAUGGGUUGAGUUGUGUCCCGUGAAAACCAGGGUUCUGGAGCCCGAAACCCUGGUACCUGUGAAUGAGAGCUUAUUUGGAAAUUGGGUCUUGCAAACAUGAUGAAGUCAUGGGGAUCAUGAGGGUGGGCCCUAGUCCAGCAUGAUGUCCUUAUGGGGAGGCGAGAACCCUGUGUGAAGACUCCCACGGGACAAGGCCUGAGAUGGAGGCAGAGAUAGACACGGCACAUCUAAAGCCAAGGAACCCUGAGCCUCACGGCAGCCCCGGGAGCUGGGGAGGGGCUGUGGAGGACUCUCCAAGUCUCAGGGAGGCGGCCCUGCUGACAUCCUGACUUCAGACUUUCCAGCCUCCAGAACCGGGGGAUGAUAAUCCCUGUUGUUUUAAGGCCCCCCAGUUCGUUGUUACAGCAGCCCCAGGAAGCUAAUUCAGCACUCUAAGUUGCAUUGCAAGCAGAGUCCUUCAGGAGAAUGCGAGGAACUGCGUGGUCCAGCUUGGGCUGAGGGCAGUGAGCAGAACCUUGCCAGGAAAGGAGACCAUGGCUCACCAGGCCAGGCAGCCCUCUCUCCUCUCUGGCCCCAACGGGCACAGCAAACUGAGGCUCCAGACAGGAGGCUGAGCACAGGCUGUCUCUGCCCUGUGCCCACACCUGCUUGUAAGCUGAGGGCAUUUUAUUGGCACAGACUUCAAAAGCAUUAAAAAACAUCCCACAUGGUAAUGUUAUGUACAAGCAAGGUAAUUCUACAUGUCUGGAGAAUGGAUGUAGCAUAAAUUGGGUCUUUUGGCCAAAAUGAGAAAUAACAGAUGCAAAGAUAUUGCUAUUUAACAAAUGCACAGUUUUGCUCCACUUUUGGUUAAGAGUCUUGUUUGCUUUUGAUGAAGAGUCAAGGACUGAAAUAAUGUAAAAAAGUUAAGAAUAUUUAUUUAAACAGGAAUUUUCAUCUAAGGUCCAAGCACAAAUAGCCCCGGCAACACCACGUUCCAGCACCGAGCACAGUACGAUAACUGUGCUCAAGGUUACCUUCCAUUUCAAGUUGUAAGCAUUUUUCCAGAAAUAUCUAUGACUGGAGUUAGAACCAUGACGGCUCAGUCAUGUUGUUAGUCUCAUGAUGAAGAACAUGAAAUAGUUUGGAGAAAAAGACAGAUACAUUUAAUGGUUCCAAAUUACAGAUCCUCCACGGUGGAUCAAAAGCUUACUGGGACAUUUUUCUUUAAGGGCAAGGGAAUUCAAGAUACUGGUGGCGCCAUUUCAACAAAUCAUUGCCGUAAAUGUGGUUUGCGGGAGGCCACCAGGCUGGUGGACAUGGGUUGUUCCACCAGGCUAGAACACAAUUGCUUUUGUGUGUUGUGUGUAUGUGUGUGUCUUAUGUAUGUUUCUGUGCCGCGGUGUGUGUGUGUGUGUGUGUGUGUGUGCACAAUCUCAAUGCAGGUAGGUUAUCCAGGCACACGGGACACCUGGUAGAGCACCUUUAGGAAGAUGAGCCAAGAAUUAUUUCCAUAAACCAUGUCAGAAUCGUCACUGAACACUUGCCCUUCCUCCUUAUGAAAAUGUUUAAUUUACUCAUUGUUAGACAAAAAGGCAGACGCUUAAGAUUUUUCAUCAUUGUAAAAGAAGUGUUAUCUAUGGCAAAUGAGUCAGUAAACACAUCCUAAUAGCAAUAUGCUGCAAAAUGUGUCAAUUUGAGGCCAAACAUGUUCCUUUAUUAGAAUUGAUGUUCUCCAUCCUGAAGCUCCUAUUACAGCCUCAUUUGGGUGGAAGGAGGAAUUUCAGGGAGCAAUGCAGUUCAGCAGAAAUUGUUGACACGUUAUCUCCCUUCACCAAAGGUCAACAUUUGAUGGAAAGUUACACAUAAUAAAAUAAUUCCCAAAUUUGGUUUCCAGAGCAGGGUUCUUCACCUGGCUGCCCCUUGGUCUCACCGGGGGAAUCACGACAACGUUCUGAUAUUCAAGCUGCACCCUACACCACCUCUGUCAGAAUCACGGGCUGUGGAGACCAGUGUAUUUUUUUAAGCUUCCAGAUGUUUCCAAUGUGCAGCCAAACCUGAGACCCAGGGCUCUACUUUGCUAUGUGAACUGUGGUUCUUGGAUGAGUGUUAUCAGUGCCACCUGGGAGCUUGUUAGCACCGCAGACUGUCAGGGGCGCUCCAAACCUGCUGAAUUCCAGCCUGCAUUUUAACAGGAUUCCUCGGGACUGCUGUGCACGUUAAAGGUUGAGAAGCUUAGGCAUGGAGGCAUUGCUCUGCCCCUGUGUGGCACUUGGGAGGCCAAAUGUGUGGAAUCAAUUCCCUAUGGCCAGGACAGUCUCAAAUAGAGGGGAAGAAAGCCUCUGUAUCGUGGGCCCUGGUCGCUGACAACUCUCUUGCUAAUUUGUGGGUCCUUAGGCUGAGCACCCACCAACUUCUGGGGAAACAUGUUUUCUUGGGCCUCACAGGCAUGGAGAGCUUUAGGGGAACCCUACACACAUAUGUAUUAUUUCUUAAAACUGGUCUACCUGAGAACACCUCUCUUCUGCCACACUUCCUCUCCUUUCACUUUUGAGCCCCUGCCACCAUUCAUAAGGCAGCCACCACUCACACCCAUCCCACUUCUCCCUAUGGUGCUUUGCUUUGGAGUUUGAAAUACCUGCUAUAUUUGCAAAAAGCAACACAGGGAGGAUAACCCAAAAUGAAUGAAAUGAUUUUCGUGUAAAGGUGGAUGGGAAUGGGGUGAAAGGGAUGGGGAAUAUAUCUUGUUUGUAGUUUUGAAUUUUGGAAUUGCGGUUAAUGAUUCAUAUGCUUAUGAAAAUAAAAUGAAAUAAUUAAAGAUAGGGAGAAAUACUCUAAAUUGAAUACAGCCAGAAACAAAUAAAACUUACUGUAUUUCAGGUGAAUAACAUAACCACAGUGAUGGAAAACAACUAAUCUAAGCAACUUCUGAACACAGUAGUUUACUAUAUAUCUUCAGUUUGAUGGGAAAAAAAAAACUGUAAGCAAACCUUGAAAUCUCAGCAGGUUUAUGUUUUGCCGUACAGUGUAGUGAUUCUGAAACUCUUGGCUAUGUUGUAGAAUUGAGAAAAAUGAGCAACCAUAUUGAUGGUAUUAGAAGCCAGCAUUCUCAGUGUUGAAGAGAGAGAACUACAGGAUGGGAAAAGGCAAGGAAGGAUCCAUGGGUAUCAUUAAGAACUUUUGGAAUAAGAGUCAGAAGUGGCAUUUCCCAAUGGAAGGGCCUAGAAACACUGGCAGCCCGGCAAUGAGCACAUUUUGCAUGCAGAUCUUGAUUUCUAAACACCAUUCUAUAGUGAAAGGAACUGUGGCAUUUUGGAGAAAUGGCUGAUUCUAGAGAAAAGACGGGCCAAGUACAAGAUAAGCCUGGAAUGUCUUGGUCUAUAAAGUAGGAAAUGCUCAAAAAAUGAAAGGGAUGUGUCAGAAUGGCAUAGAAGUCAGCUUGGAGACGUUUUCUACUGGCCAAAGCUGGGGCAAUUAAGCACAUAAAAAUGAAUGCUAACAGUAAUAGAGUAUAAACCAUUAAACAAAAUAAGAAUUAAUGAUCCACCUUAAAAAGAGA